GCAGAGUAGAAGGACACGUGUGACGCCCGCAAGGGCCAGUGCCGGUGAGACGGGGAGUUGUUCGCCGGACGAAAGGAGUCGCUUCCGCAGUGUGUCCUUCGCAUCCCGCUGC
rnacentral:ncRNA from 1 species